rnacentral:rRNA from 1 species
CCUACGGGCGGCAGCAGUGAGGAAUAUUGGUCAAUGGACGAGAGUCUGAACCAGCCAAGUAGCGUGAAGGAUGACUGCCCUAUGGGUUGUAAACUUCUUUUAUAUGGGAAUAAAAUGUUCCACGUGUGGGAUUUUGUAUGUACCAUAUGAAUAAGGAUCGGCUAACUCCGUGCCAGCAGCCGCGGUAAUACGGAGGAUCCGAGCGUUAUCCGGAUUUAUUGGGUGUAAAGGGAGCGUAGGUGGAUUGUUAAGUCAGUUGUGAAAGUUUGCGGCUCAACCGUAAAAUUGCAGUUGAAACUGGCAGUCUUGAGUACAGGAGAGGUGGGCGGAAUUCGUGGUGUAGCGGUGAAAUGCUUAGAUAUCACGAAGAACUCCGAUUGCGAAGGCAGUUCACUGGACUGCAACUGACACUGAGGCUCGAAAGUGUGGGUAUCAAACAGGAUUAGAUACCCUAGUAGUC